rnacentral:rRNA from 1 species
AUUGAACGCUGGCGGAAUGCUUUACACAUGCAAGUCGAGCGGCAGCGCGGGGGCAACCCUGGCGGCGAGCGGCGAACGGGUGAGUAACAUAUCGGAACGUACCCCGUCGUGGGGGAUAACACAGCGAAAGCUGUGCUAAUACCGCAUACGACCUGAGGGUGAAAGCGGGGGAUCGCAAGACCUCGCGCGAUGGGAGCGGCCGAUAUCGGAUUAGCUUGUUGGUGAGGUAAAGGCUCACCAAGGCGACGAUCCGUAGCUGGUCUGAGAGGACGACCAGCCACACUGGAACUGAGACAGGAUCAAACUCU